rnacentral:lncRNA from 1 species
AUAAAAAUUUGUUUCUAUCAGCAUUGCUUUGCAUUGCUGUUGCAGGAGUUUUGGGUCAAGCUCCUAGUAAUCCUCCUACGUCUACGCCGGCGCCACCCACACCACCGGCUUCUACUCCUCCUCCGACGACUCAAGCACCGCCUACACCAACCGCCACUCCGCCACCGGUUUCUACUCCUCCUCCCACUUCAUCACCGCCCCCAGUGACAGCUUCUCCACCCCCAGUUUCAACUCCUCCACCCAGUUCUCCUCCUCCUGCAACUCCACCACCUGCUUCUCCUCCUCCUGCAACUCCACCUCCAGCUUCUCCACCUCCUGCCACUCCUCCACCAGCUUCUCCACCUCCCGCCACUCCACCACCUGCAACCCCACCGCCAGCAACUCCUCCUCCUGCUACCCCACCACCAGCUCCAUUGGCUUCUCCUCCAGCCACAGUCCCAGCUAUCUCUCCAGUACAAACACCAUUGACAUCGCCACCAGCUCCGCCGACCGAGGCCCCAGCACCUACCCUCGGGG